CUUUCCACCCCAGACAGAGUAGACCUACCUUUCCACCCCAGACAGAGUAGGCCUACCUUUCCACCCCGGACAGAGUAGGCCUACCUUUCCACCCCGGACAGAGUAGGCCUACCUUUCCACCCCGGACAGAGUAGGCCUACCUUUCCACCCCGGACAGAGUAGGCCUACCUUUCCACCCCGGACAGAGUAGGCCUACCUUUCCACCCCGGACAGAGUAGGCCUACCUUUCCACCCCGGACAGAGUAGGCCUACCUUUCCACCCCGGACAGAGUAGGAAAGGUACCUUUCCACCCCGGACAGAGUAGGUCUACCUUUCCACCCCGGACAGAGUAGGAAAGGUACCUUUCCACCCCGGACAGAGUAGGAAAGGUACCUUUCCACCCCGGACAGAGUAGGCCUACCUUUCCACCCCAGACAGAGAAGGCCUACCUUUCCACCCCAGACAGAGUAGGCCUACCUUUCCACCCCGGACAGAGUAGGAAAGGUACCUUUCCACCCCAGACAGAGUAGGCCUACCUUUCCACCCCAGACAGAGAAGGCCUACCUUUCCACCCCAGACAGAGUAGGCCUACCUUUCCACCCCAGACAGAGAAGGCCUACCUUUCCACCCCAGACAGAGUAGGCCUACCUUUCCACCCCAGACAGAGAAGGCCUACUGAUGCAGAAAAAUGUAAGCUUUAACUGCUGGCUACUCUUCUUCCAUGGCUUAACCCAAUGAGAGAAGGUCGUAAGUGCUUCCCUAAAAGCUGUCUUGGUUUAAACAUAUUUUAUUGUACAGAAGGUGAUUAGCUUAAUCAAUUGAUAGUGACAGAAUUAGAUUACUUCCCAAGCAAAGUGAUUGUUUUGUCUUCUUGGAUAUAAGAGGUUGUAGAUCAGCCUCUCAAUGUCAAAGAAACAAAACAAUGAUAUCCCCAAUGAUACAGAUUGUUUCUAGCAUAAAGCAUCGCGGACGAAAGCGAUUUUAUAGAUCACUUUAUAUAAUCGGAUCCAUUCUAUUUUCUUCAAAAUCUUAAUAUAACAAGGGGUAGGGCUGUGCUUUUUGCCAUUCUCUUUAGUAAAAAGUAGGCAUAUGACAUAACAUCUCAUACCCUCUCAACUUGAGUCUAGUUUUUAACUUAACAGCCCUUCAAUGACACGGAGGUAGGCUAUUUAAAGAGUGGAGGAUUUGACUGACAAAUGUAUGGAUAUAGCAGCAGCCUAAUUUCUUCUGUCAAACAGGUAGACCUACCUCUUCUUUCUUAAAUAGGAAGAAACAGGCUCCAGCACAAAGCCCUCUUGUUAGUAAAGUCUAAUAAAAAUGAAUAUGGUUCAAAUGAAUUAUGCAUACUUUUAGCACCAUGAGCUGUCCGUUUCUGAUUGAUUGUGCCGUGGCUGCUGCUUCAAGUCUCAGCACCACAAUGUAAGUGGCUCGAACCUGGCUAAUUAUUUAACUCUGGUAAAUAGGUCUACAUCAUGGGAAAGAAACAUUGUUUUUAAUCAAAUCUAUAGUAGCAAGCUAUCAAAGUUUACCUCUGGUCCUCCUCAUCUUCACGCUCUCCUUCUCAAACUGAACUGAACAGAACAUGGGCAAGAUAGUGAAUUUUUUGGACUAGGCUUAAUUAAUAAAAUAUUAUUUUUGGAAGAAGCCUUUGACUUUCCUCCUGAACUGCCACCUUAGGCCUACACAGUACAACCAUUGGUUAGGCAGCACACAAAAAGGUUUUGAUCAGCAAGAGCAGAGCAGGCUGGGGCUCAGGGUUGGAAUGUCCCUUGCCGUGUGUAAUGCAGUCUAGUUUUAUUUACACCAUCCCAGCAGCUAUCUUAGAAAUAUAACUUUGUUCUGUGCUUGUCUGAGGAUGCACUUCGUAGCCUAUAGCAGGGAUCAUCAACUAGAUUCGGCCGCGGGACAAUUUUUUUCUGGAGCGGAUGGUCAGGUGGCCAGAACACAAUUACACAUAAUUUGUAGACUGCAAAUUGACAGCAAGAAGCCCAAACAGAUAUGUUUAACGAAAACAUAAUUAUUUCAAACCUUACUUACAUUUGUAUAUGAUCAAGGGUCUCUCAAUUAUGCGUGGGAAUACCUGGGAACAGAUUUCUUAAAUUUAAACCACUUGGAGCCGAUUUCCUGGUGUUUUUACAGUCUUUUAUGUCCAACAAUGAGAAUUCCACACACUAAAAAAAACUUGUGGGGCCAAAUAAAAUGUGGCCCGCGGGCCGCCAGUUGGAGAACCCUGGCCUAUAGGGUAUGGGUCAUUUGAUUGAUACCACACUAAAUAGCUUAUAAGGGCACUUCAAUAGCAUGCCCAGCGGAGAAUCAUAGAUGAGGGGUGGCAUCGGGCACACAUCGCCUUAUAAGCAACUAAUUCUAAAACACUGAGAAAUAUAGAAAUUUCAUCAAUUACAAAUGAUGACGCCCCUGGACUAGAUAGAAAAAAAAUACUAGACACUCCUCUUGGAUAAAAUUGACUAAGCAUGACCCUCCCCCAUUUUCCUCCAGGUACCCAUUAUGUCAAUUUCAAUCCAUCCUUACUGUAAGCUUUCUUACAGUAGGUAUCAGGCAAGGCUCGUUCAACAGCUUGUACAUGUCACUAUGCAAACUAGACUGAAACUAGCCUAGUUUCUACUAAUGGUAAACAGACUGGAAGUGCAUUUUCACCUUACUCAUUGAUCUUUAUAAACAAACUCAAGUUGAUUGCUCUUUAUUUCUAUCCAAUUUAAAGCCAGAUUGGUAUGGUGUCUUAUCCAGUAAGCAGAUACAUUGUUCUAGGUAUCCUUCAUCUCUAAGUCUAUGGAGGGCCUUAUCAUUGCAAUUACUGACAAUUUGAAUGCAAAGUUUGUGGUUCCAUCUUUAGGACAUGGUAUAAAACACGAUCGCAGUGUAGGCUCUCUUGACAUCCUUGUCAGUGGUUUGUCGUUGUUCAUUUCUUGAUGAUUCUGGUUGUAAUAUAGUCUUAUUUUUUUCUGUGGUUGUGAAAGUAGAAGUAUUUCGUACCUAAAAAAUAAAUAACUACAGUACAAUGAAUGAAAAAAA